UGCCUGCUUCUGUGUGAUAUGUUUGAUAUUGGGUUGUUUAAUUAGGAACCAACUAAAUGUCAAACAUAUUCUUACAGCAGCAGGUG
rfam:Pan troglodytes isolate Yerkes chimp pedigree #C0471 (Clint) chromosome 1, whole genome shotgun sequence.